rnacentral:rRNA from 1 species
GGUUAAGCGACUAAGCGUACACGGUGGAUGCCCUGGCAGUCAGAGGCGAUGAAGGACGUGCUAAUCUGCGAAAAGCGUCGGUAAGGUGAUAUGAACCGUUAUAACCGGCGAUGUCCGAAUGGGGAAACCCAGUGCAAUUCGUUGCACUAUCGUUAACUGAAUACAUAGGUUAACGAGGCGAACCGGGGGAACUGAAACAUCUAAGUACCCCGAGGAAAAGAAAUCAACCGAGAUUCCCCCAGUAGCGGCGAGCGAACGGGGAGCAGCCCAGAGUCUGAAUCAGCUUGUGUGUUAGUGGAACGGUCUGGAAAGUCCGACGGUACAGGGUGAUAGUCCCGUACACCAAAAUGCACAGGUUGUGAACUCGAAGAGUAGGGCGGGACACGUGGUAUCCUGUCUGAAUAUGGGGGGACCAUCCUCCAAGGCUAAAUACUCCUGACUGACCGAUAGUGAACCAGUACCGUGAGGGAAAGGCGAAAAGAACCCCGGCGAGGGGAGUGAAAAAGAACCUGAAACCGUGUACGUACAAGCAGUGGGAGCACCUUCGGGUGUGACUGCGUACCUUUUGUAUAAUGGGUCAGCGACUUAUAUUCUGUAGCAAGGUUAACCGUAUAGGGGAGCCGCAGGGAAACCGAGUCUUAACUGGGCGUUAAGUUGCAGGGUAUAGACCCGAAACCCGGUGAUCUAGCCAUGGGCAGGUUGAAGGUUGGGUAACACUAACUGGAGGACCGAACCGACUAAUGUUGAAAAAUUAGCGGAUGACUUGUGGCUGGGGGUGAAAGGCCAAUCAAACCGGGAGAUAGCUGGUUCUCCCCGAAAGCUAUUUAGGUAGCGCCUCGUGAACUCAUCUUCGGGGGUAGAGCACUGUUUCGGCUAGGGGGUCAUCCCGACUUACCAACCCGAUGCAAACUACGAAUACCGAAGAAUGUUAUCACGGGAGACACACGGCGGGUGCUAACGUCCGUCGUGAAGAGGGAAACAACCCAGACCGCCAGCUAAGGUCCCAAAGUCAUGGUUAAGUGGGAAACGAUGUGGGAAGGCACAGACAGCCAGGAUGUUGGCUUAGAAGCAGCCAUCAUUUAAAGAAAGCGUAAUAGCUCACUGGUCGAGUCGGCCUGCGCGGAAGAUGUAACGGGGCUAAACCAUGCACCGAAGCUGCGGCAGCGACACUAUGUGUUGUUGGGUAGGGGAGCGUUCUGUAAGCCUGCGAAGGUGUGCUGUGAGGCAUGCUGGAGGUAUCAGAAGUGCGAAUGCUGACAUAAGUAACGAUAAAGCGGGUGAAAAGCCCGCUCGCCGGAAGACCAAGGGUUCCUGUCCAACGUUAAUCGGGGCAGGGUGAGUCGACCCCUAAGGCGAGGCCGAAAGGCGUAGUCGAUGGGAAACAGGUUAAUAUUCCUGUACUUGGUGUUACUGCGAAGGGGGGACGGAGAAGGCUAUGUUAGCCGGGCGACGGUUGUCCCGGUUUAAGCAUGUAGGCUGGUUGUCCAGGCAAAUCCGGAUAAUCAAGGCUGAGGUGUGAUGACGAGGCACUACGGUGCUGAAGUAACAAAUGCCCUGCUUCCAGGAAAAGCCUCUAAGCAUCAGGUAACAUCAAAUCGUACCCCAAACCGACACAGGUGGUCAGGUAGAGAAUACCAAGGCGCUUGAGAGAACUCGGGUGAAGGAACUAGGCAAAAUGGUGCCGUAACUUCGGGAGAAGGCACGCUGGUGUGUAGGUGAAGCCCCUGCGGGUGGAGCUGAGACCAGUCGAAGAUACCAGCUGGCUGCAACUGUUUAUUAAAAACACAGCACUGUGCAAACACGAAAGUGGACGUAUACGGUGUGACGCCUGCCCGGUGCCGGAAGGUUAAUUGAUGGGGUUAUCCGUAAGGAGAAGCUCUUGAUCGAAGCCCCGGUAAACGGCGGCCGUAACUAUAACGGUCCUAAGGUAGCGAAAUUCCUUGUCGGGUAAGUUCCGACCUGCACGAAUGGCGUAAUGAUGGCCAGGCUGUCUCCACCCGAGACUCAGUGAAAUUGAACUCGCUGUGAAGAUGCAGUGUACCCGCGGCAAGACGGAAAGACCCCGUGAACCUUUACUAUAGCUUGACACUGAACAUUGAGCCUUGAUGUGUAGGAUAGGUGGGAGGCUUUGAAGCGUGGACGCCAGUCUGCGUGGAGCCAACCUUGAAAUACCACCCUUUAAUGUUUGAUGUUCUAACGUUGGCCCCUGACCGGGGUUGCGGACAGUGUCUGGUGGGUAGUUUGACUGGGGCGGUCUCCUCCCAAAGCGUAACGGAGGAGCACGAAGGUUAGCUAAUCCUGGUCGGACAUCAGGAGGUUAGUGCAAUGGCAUAAGCUAGCUUGACUGCGAGCGUGACGGCGCGAGCAGGUGCGAAAGCAGGUCAUAGUGAUCCGGUGGUUCUGAAUGGAAGGGCCAUCGCUCAACGGAUAAAAGGUACUCCGGGGAUAACAGGCUGAUACCGCCCAAGAGUUCAUAUCGACGGCGGUGUUUGGCACCUCGAUGUCGGCUCAUCACAUCCUGGGGCUGAAGUAGGUCCCAAGGGUAUGGCUGUUCGCCAUUUAAAGUGGUACGCGAGCUGGGUUUAGAACGUCGUGAGACAGUUCGGUCCCUAUCUGCCGUGGGCGCUGGAGAAUUGAGGGGGGCUGCUCCUAGUACGAGAGGACCGGAGUGGACGCAUCACUGGUGUUCGGGUUGUCAUGCCAAUGGCACUGCCCGGUAGCUAAAUGCGGAAGAGAUAAGUGCUGAAAGCAUCUAAGCACGAAACUUGCCCCGAGAUGAGUUCUCCCUGAGACUUUAAGUCUCCUGAAGGAACGUUAAAGACGAUGACGUUGAUAGGCCGGGUGUGUAAGCGCAGCGAUGCGUUGAGCUAACCGGUACUAAUGAACCGUGAGGCUUAACCUUAC